CAGUAGCCGCGGGAAUACGGAGGGGGCUAGCGUUGUUCGGAAUUACUGGGCGUAAAGGGCGCGUAGGCGGUUCGUACAGUCGGAUGUGAAAUUCCUGGGCUUAACCUGGGGACUGCAUUCGAUACGUGCGGGCUUGAGUGUGGAAGAGGGUUGUGGAAUUCCCAGUGUAGAGGUGAAAUUCGUAGAUAUUGGGAAGAACACCGGUGGCGAAGGCGGCAACCUGGUCCAUGACUGACGCUGAGGCGCGAAAGCGUGGGGAGCAAACAGGAUUAGAUACCCCCGUAGUCCCUGUCUCUUAUAC
rnacentral:rRNA from 1 species